rnacentral:tRNA from 1 species
CAAAAAAAGGGGGAUAUGGCGAAAUUGGUAGACGCUUAGUAAAAGGAAAAUCCGUCGACUUUUAAAAUCGUGAGGGUUCAAGUCC